rnacentral:ribozyme from 1 species
CGCAGAGUGACGGACAGGGCGCAGGCCCUUCCGGUAAUGCGGCAAGCCGGUCACAAGCCCGG